UACGGAGGAUCCGAGCGUUAUCCGGAUUUAUUGGGUUUAAAGGGCGCGCAGGCGGGAGAUUAAGUCGGCGGUGAAAUUUUGCAGCUCAACUGUAAAAGUGCCUUCGAAACUGGUUUCCUUGAGUGUGGAUGAAGUAGGCGGAAUUUGUGGUGUAGCGGUGAAAUGCAUAGAUAUCACGAGGAACUCCGAUUGCGCAGGCAGCUUACUAAACCAUAACUGACGCUCAUGCACGAAGGCGUGGGGAUCAAACAGGAUUAGAUACCCCCGUAGU
rnacentral:rRNA from 1 species